rnacentral:lncRNA from 1 species
AUGUUGUUGAAGAAACUGAACUACAGUGUCAGAAAAUGCUUCCAUGUCUUCAAAGGUUGCUACCCACAAUGUCCCCCGGAUAAGCCAUACUUUGAUGAGAACACAAGAAAAUGUGUGACGAGUUGUGAAACAUCUACUACAACAACUACCACAACAACAACAACAACGACUACAACCACAACAACACCUACUACAACGACAACAGAAACGACAACAGAAACGACUACAACACCUACUACUACCACAGAAACGACCACAACACCUACUACAACAACAGAAACGACCACAACACCUACUACCACAACAACAACAGAAACGACCACAACACCUACUACAACAACAGAAACGACAACACCUACUACCACAGAAACGAGCACAACACCUACUACAACAACAGAAACGACCACAUCUACUACAACAGAAUCAACGACCACACCUACUACCACAGAAACGACCACAACAACAUCUACGACAACAACAGAAACAACAACACCUACUACCACAGAAACGACCACAACACCUACUACAACAACAGAAACAACCACAACACCUACUACCACAGAAACGACCACAACAUCUACUACAACAGAAUCAACCACAAUACCUACUACCACAGAAACGACCACAACACCUACUACAACAACAGAAACAACCACAACACCUACCACCACAGAAACGACCACAACAACAUCUACUACAACAACAGAAACGACCACAACACCUACCACCACAGAAACGACUACAACAACAUCUACUACCACAGAAACGACCACACCUACUACAACAACAGAAACGACCACACCUACUACAACAACAGAAACGACACCUACUACCACAGAAACGACCACAACAUCUACUACAACAACAGAAACGACCACAUCUACUACAACAGAAUCAACCACAACACCUACUACAACAGAAACGACCACAACAACAGAAACGACCACACCUACUACCACAGAAACGACCACAACACCUACUACAACAACAGAAACGACCACAACAACAUCUACUACAACAGAAUCAACCACAACACCUACUACCACAGAAACUACCACAACAUCUACUACAACAACAGAAACGACAACACCUACUACCACAGAAACAACCACAACAACAUCUACUACAACAACAACAGAAACGACCACACCUACGACAACAAUAACAGAAACGACAACACCUACUACCACAGAAACGACCACACCUACUACCACAGAAACGACCACAACAUCUACUACAACAGAAUCAACCACAACACCUACUACCACAGAAACAACCACAACACCUACUACAACAGAAACGACCACAACAACAGAAACGACAACACCUACUACCACAGAAACGACCACAACACCUACUACAACAACAGAAACGACCACAACAACAUCUACUACAACAGAAUCAACCACAACACCUACUACCACAGAAACAACUACAACAACAGAAACAACCACAACACCUACCACCACAGAAACGACCACAACAACACCUACUACAACUACGACCACAACAACAACAGAAACAACCACAACCACACCGACUACAACAACGAAAACAACAACAACAACACCGACUACAACAAAAACAACCACUACACCUACUACAACAACGACCACAACAACACCUACUACGACAACAACCGGUGAGUUUUGUUACAACCUUGAUAUUACGCAAGAGCUUAUACUAUUACUCCUUUAUGGAAUGGUGCAGUUUGUAUGUAUCAAUACAGUAACAGCAGGCUUCUGA